rnacentral:lncRNA from 1 species
UGUGUGUGUGUGUGUGUGUGUUUCUUUGGAAAGGUACACGGAGAGGCACCCAGUACCCCUGCCCUGCAGGAACAUAUAGUACCAGGCUGGGAAAUGGCAGGGUGGAGGAGUGUACUGCCUGCCCUGCAGGGACUUUUUGCACCAGCGGUACCUCCAAGCCAGUUCUGUGCCCAGUAGGAACCUAUCGUAUGGAACAUGGUGCCAAGUUGGCUGUAGAGUGCAUCCCUUGUCCUGGAGGGUAUUACUGCCCUGAGCUUGGCACUGUUACUCCUCGAGCAUGUGGUGCUGGCAACUUCUCAGGCCGUGGUCAAUCCCUUUGUAGAAACUGUCCAGAGGGUACAUUCUGCAAUGAGACAGGCCUUGCUGAACCCAGGGUGUGUCCCAAAGGGCAUUUUUGCUUGGCUGGAAGUUCCCUGCCUCUCCCAUGUCCUGUGGUAAGAAUCAAAUGUGGCUAUUUUCCAUGUACUAAUUCUCGCCAGGCUUCCAGUAGGGAUGAUUUGUUGGUUCUCUGUGUUUUUGCAGGGAACUUACACAGAUGUAGCCAGAGCAGGUUCCUGCAAGCCCUGCCCAGCAGGCAUGUACUGCAGCAUGGCUGGUCUGACUGAGCCAGAAGGACCUUGCCAGCCAGGGUAUUACUGUGUUCAAGGGUCCAGCAGYUCCUCACCUGUGAGUGCUGAACAUUUUGCAUGGCACCAGUCAUUUUGGCACUGAAAAAGCAUUCAUAAACCGUAUUCACCAUCUUUUCCUUGCUUCAGGUGGGACUUCCAUUUGGAGAUUUUUGCCCACCGGGACAUUAUUGUCCUGCUGGCACGACACAGCCAAAAGAGAUGCCAUGCCCUGCUGGCACCUGGAACGAACAGAGAGGAGCCCGGGAUGCUGCUUGGUGUCUGCCUUGUGCUCCUGGGUUUUUCUGUAAUAUGUCAGGCCAAGAUGCUCCCGUAGGACUUUGUGCACAGGGCUAUUACUGCACAGGAAGGACAAAGACUGCAAAGCCUGAGGAUGGUGUCACCGGAGAUAUCUGUCCUCGAGGACAUUUCUGCCCUCCAGGCUCAGCAGCACCUUCUCCCUGCCCUAGUGGAGAAUACAGUAAUGCAACAGGUCAAGACAAAUGCUUUCCUUGUCCUGCUGGGUUUCACUGUCCAAAAGGGCUGAGACGCCGCUGUCCUCCUGGUUUCUAUUGCCCUCAGAAAACUGGAAUCGAUCUUCUUCCUUGUCCACCUGGGACUUACAACCCUUCCCAUGGACUCAGCCAGGCCGAG